rnacentral:lncRNA from 1 species
GUAAGUAUUUAAAAGGUCACAAGAAGUCAUAAUUCUUACUGUAACAAUUUUAAUGGAUAAUUUUAAAUGUCAGUUUAAAAAAAAUUAUUAGAAGUCUAAAGAUGCAAAUAAUUUUAAAUGAACCAAACUCCAGAGAGAAAUCAGCACUACCUAGAAGAGAAGAAACUGCUAGUUAAUUUUAUGCCUGCAGUUAUAUCCUCUGUGGACAAAGGAUAUAAUUUUCCAUAGACAAGGAAUGUUUAUAAUUUAAGGAGAAACUUUUAAUGGACACAUAUUGGGGGGCAAGAUAGAUUCGAUUCCAAAAAGUCCCAGAAAAAAAGUACAUCAUCAUCUGUUCGCCAAGUCUUUCACAGACAGACUUUAAAUACAUGGAAGCAUACUAAAUAUUGGAGCCAAACCAGAAGGCAAGGUAAGAACUCCUGAGUUGCAUAAUGCUGGACAGAUGGUGGCUGGAGAAUUCACCAGUAACCUCAAAAUCUGCCUGUAAAGCAUAAAAAGUUCUAGAGAUUCUCAUAAUUCUUAAAUACUAAGUCCUUCUGAAAUUAGGAGUCCAGAUCUCACCCCCAAAGGAUUUGAAGCCAGGGGUAAACUCAAACACAAGCUGCAACCCAUACCAGAUCUAGUUCAAUAAGAACUUAGAUCAGGUCUGGCAGAAGAAGGGGCUUUCUCUGUUCCAAAAUUAUUUUAUAUAUAAGAUUCAACAUACAAUAAAACAUAACAUUAUAUGAGAAACAAAACAAAAUGUAAAUAUCAGAAAACUAUGACCAAAAAAGGUUAUAUAGCAUAGAAUCAAAACUGAACCAAGCAUGAAUUUUAACAGGCAAACACAUUAAUAUAACUACUUUAAAGACACCUCAGAGAUGUUGCCUGCAUGACCUCCAAUGCACUCACAGAACAAGAGGCAAAGGGUUCGAUUCUCACUGGUUCAAAGUGCUUAAGCGCAAACUCUAAUCAAUUAUUAACUAAUUCCUCAGCUAUACUAACCAAGAGUAAUAUCUAAGCUUCUAGGUUUACAAAAAAAACAAAAAACAAACAAAAAAAAACAAGAAAAGAAAUAACUUAGCAGAGACAUGAGUGGCUGCAUAUUAAAUAGGAGACAGAAUUAGUCCAGGCAAGGGUAAAAAUAAAGAAAAAAAUUAAGUAACAACAAAAUAAUCUCAUUUGGGGAAUCAGAAUCUGUUAUCCAAAAUGUCAUGUCUUAUUUUCAACAGAAGAGAAGAAACAGGAAAGCACGCCUCAUUGACAUGGGGAAAAAAGCAGCAAGCAGAAACUAUCUGUGAGGGAUCUCAGAUGUUGGACUUAGUACACAAAGAGUUCAAAGCAUCCAUUAUAAAUAUAUAGAACUAAAGCAAAGUGUAUUUUUAACAAUUAAAAAUGAGAGAACAGAGAAGUCUCUGCAUUUAAAAAGGAAAGGAAUGACAUCUGUAUUUGUACUGUGUGUGCAUUGCUGUUUAAGUGUGCAGAUUUGUGUAGAGGUGUAUGUUUCCCUAGUAGCUCUAAAAAUACAUGAAAUGCUUCCCUCACUGCUCCCAUUUGUUUCUUUUUGGCAAUUUAUAUUUAACUUUUCUCUCUUUGUCCCUGUCUCCUUUCUCCUCUUUCAUAAAUAAUAUACUGCUUUUCUCUGUCAUUCUAAAGGAGUCACGGGGACUUUAAAUUGAUACAGCUGUAAAGGAGGAAAUGAGAGGCAAGGGAAUACACUGUGACUUUAGGAUGGAAAGAUAUGCAGUUUGACUGCAAAACGCAGAGACAGCUUUGAUUGAGGUGAAACAUAGGAAAAGUCCAAGAAGAAUCAGAGGAAACCAUUACAGAUCUCCUGGGCAAAGGGAAAACUUAGAGGGGAAAAUGUUUUUGCAGAGGGAUGAUGAGGAAACAGCUGAUUAAGACAGAGAGUGUCAAUCAUGUGGGGAAAUAGACACGGAACUGAGCCAGGUGGGAGUGCGGGCUCCUUGCAGGGCUGGAAUGAGGGCAAGGUUGGGCUCAGAUUUACAUACUGAUUCAUACCCACGCACUCAUGCACGCACAUGCACAUGAACACACACACAUUUUAAGGGUCCUCUGAAAGUGGCAACCGCACAUCCAUGUUCCCCUGGCAGUGGGCAAUGUGAACGGCAUAGGCUAUUCCCCAGUACCCAUACAUUAGACCUGAUGGACUUUCCCUGAGCACCUCCACCUUGCCUUGUCCCUUCAUGUUCUGUGGCUUUCCUGUUCAUAGCCUCUGAAGGUGAGGAGCCUCAGCCUGGGUUCUGCCAUCAGCAAGGACUCAUUUCUUUGCUCUCUAAGGCUAACUGUUGCUCACAUACUGGCCAGAAGCCAAAGAAACAAUUUCCAUGUGAAUGGUAUUUUAAGGCUAUCACUUUCACACUCCUCAAACUCUAGUAUUUUGGGUUUUGGAAGCAGCGCUGCAUACAGACAAGGGUUCUGGCUUCAUUUGCAACAGUGAGAGCUGCAGAAGGGCAUCUUGGGGGCGGAGGGCAUUUUUUUUUGAGGUUUCAGGAAGCACCACAGAGAAACGGAAGGUGAAUUAAUGGAAUGCCGGAAUUCUGUGGAGAAGCAUGGAGCAGACCUGCGACAUCCGAUGAAAUGUAUACAAAGGAGAAGAUUAUGAAACUGACUGAAAAUCGUCUAUAAAGUCGGGAGUAAAAGGAAUGACGUAUGGGAACUGGGGGAGGAGAAUGUCUCUUUAGUAAAUCAGAGACUGAGAAACUACCAAAGAAAAGCUGUUAGUUUUGUUUGUAUAACAUGAAUCUAGUCUAAGGGAAUUAAACCAAAAAGAAAUACAUGAUUCCUUUAUAUUUUAGUAGAAAAUUCUAAAGAGAAAAAACUAUGAAAUACAAGCAUUGUGCAUUUCAAUGUGCAAGCUCUAAAGAGAAAACUCUAAAAUACAAGCAUUGUGUAGGAAGGAAUAUGAACACUGACAAGAGGAAAUGAUAAAAGGAGAAAGAGUCUAUGUUUCAUUGCAGUCUGUGUGUAAUACAAUAUGACAAAAGACAGGGAAUAGGCUGGCUUUUGUGAACAUAAGAUCUCACUAUAUCUGAGACUUCUCACUAUAUCUGUAUUCUGUAAGUGACAUCGCUGCACAAGAGAGGAGAUUGGGUAAGAAAUAGGUCACAAAAUAUGUCUGCAUGCUGUAAGUUUUUUGGGGAAAAUACUAGGAAAAAAUUAAAUCUCACUAGAGGCAGUAAGUGAGAGUAAGUCCAAGACUAAGGUAAUACAUGAUACUACAAAAGAAAAAGUCAUACAAUAGCCAUUUUUCCAAGGAAGAUAUGAAAUGGUCAAUUAGCAUAUGAAAAGAUUCUCAACAUCAUCAGUUGUCAGGGCAAACCACAAUGAGAUACCACUUCACACCUUCUAAGUAGGCUGGAAUCCAAUAGUCAAAUAACAACAUAUUUUGAUGAGAAUGCAGAAAAAAUGGAGCACUCAUAUAUUGCUAGUGGAAAUAUAAAAUGGCAAAACCAUUUUGAAAAACUCUCUGGCCAUUCCUCAAAUAAUUAAAUAUUGAAUUAUUGUCUGACCCAGCAAUUCUACUCCUAGGUAUAUACCCAAGAGUAAUGAAAACACAUGUUCACAUAAAGCCUUGUACAUAAAUGUUAAGCAGCCUUGUUCAUCAUGAUAGUCAAAAGGUGGAAACAACCCAAAUGUCCAUCAAUACACAACAAUAAUAAGCAAAAUGUGGUAUAUCCAUAAAAUAGAAUAUUAUUGACCAUAAAAAGAAUGAAGUAUUAAUGUAUUCUAUCACAUGGAUAAAACUUCAAAACACUAUGCUGAGUUUUAAAAGUCAGCCACAAAAGAUUAGAUACUAUAUAACUCCAUUAAUAUAAAAAUGCAGAAUGAGGAAAUAUACAGAAACAAAGUAAAUUAGUGGUUGCUUAUGGCUGAUGGAAAAAAUGAGGGCUUGUAGGGUAAUAGCUAAAGGGUUGGGGUUUUCUUUUUCAGGUUGUGAAAAUGUACUAAAAUUGACUGGUGAUGUUUGCACAUAUUUGUGAAUAUAGUAAAAUCUGCUGAAUUGUACACUUUAAAUUAGGUGAAUUGCGUGGUAUGUAAAUAAUAUCUCAAUAAAACUCUGG